CCUCAGAGCCCUCAAUCAAGACAUUGGGCAUAAAACCAAAUCCUAUUAUUGUAAUUAUCUUAUUUCUCCCAAACUAAAUUGUACUGAUACCAGGCAGAAGGAAGAAUGGUGAAGCUCCUAAGAUUCUCAUUAGUGCUUCUGUGGUUUCAACUUACCUGGGUGAGUGGCCAGAAGAAGGUGGAGCAGAUUCCGCAGUCCCCGAGCUUGAAAGAGGGAGAGAAUGUCACCAUAAAGUGCAAUUACUCAUUUACUGAAAACAGCCUACAGUGGUUCAGACAGGAUCCACAGGAAGGUAUUGUCUCCUUAUUUGUACUGACUACAGGGGUGAAGAAGAAAGGAAGAUUGGAAGCCUCAAUCACCUCCAAAGAACGGCACAGCUUCUUACACAUCACCAACUCCAAGCCUGAAGACUCAGGCACCUACCUGUGUGCUGUGGAGGCACAGUGGGCCCCAGGCACCUGCAGGCUGUGCAUAAAACCUCUAGCUGGGGUCUUAGCCACACUCCCUACUACAGAAUGA